rnacentral:rRNA from 1 species
UACGUAGGGUGCGAGCGUUGUCCGGAUUUAUUGGGCGUAAAGAGCUCGUAGGCGGUUUGUCGCGUCGGCCGUGAAAACUCAACGCUUAACGUUGAGCUUGCGGUCGAUACGGGCAGACUUGAGUUCGGUAGGGGAGACUGGAAUUCCUGGUGUAGCGGUGAAAUGCGCAGAUAUCAGGAGGAACACCGGUGGCGAAGGCGGGUCUCUGGGCCGAUACUGACGCUGAGGAGCGAAAGCGUGGGGAGCGAACAGG